rnacentral:rRNA from 1 species
UACGUAGGGUGCAAGCGUUUGUCCGGAAUUAUUGGGCGUAAAGAGCUCGUAGGCGGUCUGUCGCGUCUGCUGUGAAAACUCAGGGCUUAACCCUGAGCUUGCAGUGGGUACGGGCAGACUAGAGUGCGGUAGGGGAGACUGGAAUUCCUGGUGUAGCGGUGAAAUGCGCAGAUAUCAGGAGGAACACCGGUGGGCGAAGGCGGGUCUCUGGGCCGUAACUGACGCUGGAGGAAGCGAAAGCAUGGGGAGCGAACAGG